rnacentral:lncRNA from 1 species
CUGUGAUUUAAUAUACUUUGUAUUGCUGCAAAUUUGAAGUCUUGAUGUGUACCCCUGGCCAAACGACUGCUGGUCGUGUUCAGUGAGUUGGCUGAGCUGAUCUAAGAGAUCCCUGCUGUGGUCCCAUUUCCCUGCCCUUUUCCCACUCCCUCCUUUUGAUUGCAUUCUCCUACAACUUCCUUUGUAGCAGCUCUGGCUCCCAUCUGACCUUCAAUGAGCAUUUUCAGCAUUUCCCUAGCCAGGCAGAAAACUAGGCCACCGGGGGAGGGGGGGGGGGGGGGGGGGGGGGGGGUUGGUAGGGGUGAAGUUUAGUAACUUCACGUUCUGCCAUUUUCAGGAAUUCAAGUUAGCUAUUCUCACUUUCACUUUCCCAUCUCUUCAUCUCUAGUUUGGGAUCCAAAAUCCACGACGGAACUGAAAUUACUAGAAUAUGGACAUGCAGAUACCUCAGACACAUUCUGAAAUGCUCAGCCAUAUUAUUUUUUAUGUAUAAUCUUUUUGCUGGCUUUUAGUCUAUUCAGUUUAUUUAGUUUAGUUUAGUCUAUUUUAGCAGAUAGCUUUAUCAAUACCUGUAUGGAAAUUACAGUCACAGCUCAACCUGACCACGCUUUCUAAGCAGCACAUGGUCAUACGUGUCAGUUAGAGAGACUGAGACAAGAAUUUCCCAUUCUGAGGAAGAAAAUGGUCAGAAAGGAAGCAGGUACAAACAAACCCUUGUGGAUGUCACUUACAUCCUGCUCAGCAGCCUCUAGAACAGAGGUUUUGAAAAAUGUUUUUGACAACAAUGACAACAUUUUUCUACUGGUUGAAAUGUCCCAUGAGCAGCAAACCUACUUAGGAACACCUUCAUCCUCUAAGGAUUUACCAGUGUCAAACAUCUGUUUUCUGUGAGUGAUGGAGCUAAAGAAGGAAGGGAAAGAGAGUCACAGGGGAGAUGCCAGUGCCCUGGGGAGAAGUAGACAAGAAGAUCCCCUUUCUGUUAUUCUACAUAAAGACUCGCAAUAUUCAGCAUGUUUCUGAAUAAUUUCUGAGUGCAAUGAGGUCUAUAUUCCCAAUGUGUGCUCUAAUACUUGAGGAUCACUUGAAGGUUGGCCCAGUAUAUCCUUUCCUAUG